rnacentral:rRNA from 1 species
UCGUGAACUCAAGCGAGACGGGUAGCCGGCCUGAGAGGGCGACCGGCCACACUGGGACUGAGACACGGCCCAGACUCCUACGGGAGGCAGCAGUGGGGAAUAUUGCACAAUGGGCGAAAGCCUGAUGCAGCGACGCCGCGUGAGGGAUGAAGGCCUUCGGGUUGUAAACCUCUUUCAGCAGGGACGAAGCGCAAGUGACGGUACCUGCAGAAGAAGCACCGGCUAACUACGUGCCAGCAGCCGCGGUAAUACGUAGGGUGCGAGCGUUGUCCGGAAUUACUGGGCGUAAAGAGUUCGUAGGCGGUUUGUCGCGUCGUGUGUGAAAUCCCGCAGCUCAACUGCGGGCUUGCAGGCGAUACGGGCAGACUUGAGUACUGCAGGGGAGACUGGAAUUCCUGGUGUAGCGGUGAAAUGCGCAGAUAUCAGGAGGAACACCGGUGGCGAAGGCGGGUCUCUGGGCAGUAACUGACGCUGAGGAACGAAAGCGUGGGUAGCGAACAGGAUUAGAUACCCUGGUAGUCCACGCCGUAAACGGUGGGCGCUAGGUGUGGGUUUCCUUCCACGGGAUCCGUGCCGUAGCUAACGCAUUAAGCGCCCCGCCUGGGGGAGUACGGCCAACAAGCUGAUAGGCCGCGA